rnacentral:lncRNA from 1 species
AUAGUUUGAAAAGAGUUAAAGUUUAAUACAAUGUCACUAUGUCAGUAACACGAGCGAUGUUAAUAUUGUGAAAUAUCACUAAUGAAGUAUUUGUGUUGGACAAAAUUAUCCUUAUUUUAACUAUUGUCAUAAUCUUACUGCUUAUUUUAACUAUUCAGUACUUUGAAUAAUAGUGUCUGUAUACAUUUUAUACAAAUAAUAAGGUGAAAUGGCGUCACAACUAUCCCAAAAAAGAAAAACAAAAAAAGAAGAAGAAAGCUUCAUUAAUUGUCAGAUAUGAGAUUUAAUUAUUUUACUUAUGAUCAGAAAGCUUCAUUAAUUGUCAGAUAUGAGAUUUAUAUCCUCAACCGGAUCCUCCCUUACAUUAACCGGGCAAAUUUUUUUAGUGUAUCUCCAAUUGCAUAACGACAAAACAAUUCCUGCAAAUACACAAACCAUGAUUAUACACUCUUUAAUAAACUUAUUAUGAUUUUAGUCUCAUUUAUUUUAAUAAAAAUAGUAUAAAAUAACAUAAUAUCUCAUUACAAUUUUAUUAUCAGACAAUCAUUAUAAAAUUAAUCAUUUAACAAAUUUAAGAAUAAACAUGGAUAUUAAUUGUUGGUUGUGAUUCAAAAUUUUUAAUUUGGUAAAGUCCCACAUUGUCUAUUUUGAAAACUAUUCAUGUGUAUAUUAGUGUAUUAUAAGUGUAUUAUAGUCUUAGGUUUAGUAACAUGGUUGAGAAAAAAUUGAUGGACACACGCACAUGAGGAUGCAUGGCUAAGAAAUUGGGAUGCGAUAAGUUUGGAUCUUAGAAUUUUGGCCAAAAAACCUUAAUACAAUGUUCAUAUUUUUUACGGUUCUGUUCAUCCUUUUUUCCUAUAAAUACCAGUCUGAUCUUAGGAGUUAAUACACUUACAAAAUUAUUCUUCUUUUUAAUAUAUACAUUGUUACUAUUUUCUGGGCAAUUCACAAAGAUAAGUCCAAAAUCUUCUUCUAUAAGUACACACAAUUGGAGGCUUCGUCAUUGAAUCCUGAAGAGUGGACGCUAGAGCUAAUCUAUACCAAAUGUUAUAACUAGUGAGACCAAAAUUAUUUUUUAGAACAAUAGUUUUGCUACGCCUCGAUUUCAGUUUUAAUUUUACUGUUUGUUCGUCUUGUUAAUUAAUACUGCAAAUUUUUAAUAUAUAUGUAUCCUUAAGCUCUGUCAAUUUUGCUUGGUAGCUUUUUUUUAAUGGCCUUUACUUUGGAGGGAUGUUAGCACAAGCACAAAAAUAAUUAUAUAAUCGAUAUUAAGAAUCUCUCAAUGACAAUAUUGAUAAAACUCAUUCUAUGGAUGAAAAUUUAAACCUCACAAUAUGGACGAAAUUAACUCCACAAUAAGAAAAAAAUAAAGUCUCACAAAAGAUGAAAGACAGUGCCUGGAUAUGUUAUAUUUAGAUUGAAUGAAUGAAAUAAAAAAUAGUAUAUAAUAUAUUGUUUAUAUGGGAAGUGAUUCAUAACUUGCGUUAGUUAUGAGCACUAUUCAAGUUAACUCAUUUUUUACAGUCCAAUAGAAGAUCUAAAUAUUUGGUUGGGACCGGUCUCUACUCUCUUAUGGUCAGCCAAUUUUUUUUAUGUUGAUCGUUACAUGAAAAGUCGUAGAAAUUAAUUAUGGAACUUAAAGUAAUUAUAAUUUAAAUUACAAAAAUAUAGCUAAUUAAUACUUCACUCGCUAAUUGGUUCACAAAUAUAAAGAAUUAUAAAAUUAGUAGUAGACUAAUAUAAAGAAUAGUACUUGACUAGGUAAUUUAGGAAUAGUAGUUGAUUACGUAAUUUAUUUAUGGGUAGAAAUAUAAUAUAAACUCAAUCACAAAUGUUGGGAGAAAAAAAAAAUACAAACUCACAAAUGUUGAGAACUGAACUUGAAACCAUCAGUCUUAAAUCAUGCUAAGAUCUCAUUGACAGAUCAUUCAUUUUGUUGAAUAGAGGGAGUAAUGUAUUUUGAAGACACACACACACACACACACACACACACACACACACACACACACACACAUAUAUAUAUAUAUAUAUAUAUAUAUAUAUAUAUAUAUAUAUAUAUAUAUAUAUAUAUAUAUAUACAAGUUUACAACAUAAUUAUGAUCAAUUAUGCAUGUAAAUAUGUAUAGAAAUAGUGCACUAAGAACACUUACCAAAAACUUGAACAACAACUAGGAAUCCAAUGUUGGUUGAAGCCAUAUUCCUUCUUUUAAAUUAGGAUGAGUUUUGGCCAUUGCGUCCAUUACUUGUAGGGAAAUUUUUUUUAUGAAAAAACGCGUGACUGAAUUUUUCAAAGUCUUCGUAAUUAAGAAAAAACGUGUGGAUGAGUUUUGGCCAUUGCGUCCACUUAAUUAUUGGCCGGAUGAUACUCAAAGUCAAAGUCUAUUUAGUCGUUUAAUUUAAUUAUAUAGUUGGAGACUUGGAGUGCCGGUCAUUGGUGGUAUUAGUCAAAGAAUACUCUCAGGUCACUUUAGUUAAUGCCUUUGUGCCCAAAUAGAGAAAAAUAUAACUUGUGUAGACACCCAAAAUUUAUGUUUUGCAAUUAAAAAUAACAAAGUACCAAAAGAAAAAUAAAAAAUAAGAAGCUGAAAAUUAGAAAAAACAUAAUUUUACGGUUUGAAUUGAAAAAACAGGAAGACCUGAGGGGAAGGAGAGAUAUGACCUAAGAGAGUAUGUGUGGGCCUUGGGGAGUGGGGGCUUGUAACACCACACAAUCCUAUAUCGAUAGAUAUAAAAAGAAAAUUAUUUGUAUAUAAAGAAUUAAAUAUUUAUUAAUAGUACCUUCAGUUAUGACCUUUCGGGUGAGCAUAUAGUGGGUUAAGAUAGUCCAAUAAGAUAUAAUUAGACCACCUGAAACACUAUUAGACCAAUAAUUUAAGAUUUUAUUUGAACUUAAGAUUUGAUCCAAAUUAUUUCAGAGCUCUUAAAGCCAUCAUCCUGAUGGCGGCUCGACCCUUGAAUUCCCAAGAAAUUAAACCUUUAUUUCUUCCUCUAUAUAUGUUUUGAGAGAGCAUAUAACUUUAAUUAAACAAGUCACAAGUCGAGUUAAUUUGAGUUGGAUAUAACACUCUCCUUUAGUUGAAUGAUCAUGAUUCUUUUUGUAACGAUCUCAAAAUUAGGACAAUUUCCAUUUCCGAUUUUGGUCGUUAAAAAUACAUUUUCAUUCUAGGUUUACAACGCUAAUCAAUAUUAUCAUUGAUAAAAUGCGUAUAAAUUUAAAAUUUCAAUGAUUUUCUUUCUUAUUACCUAAAUCGUAACCUUUACAAUUCAUCUUAUUUCAAAAUCAAAUAUAUGUUAUGAUUUAUCUUCCCUACAUUAAAUAUAAGUAUUUAAAAAAAAUCGACCUUCAAUACGUACACCAUUCUUUUAUACCUUUAUAACAAAAAUUUAACAAUCAUAUAUUUCAUAUAUAUUAUCUCUUUUACACCGCUGUCAUCAAACCAGUUACCAAGUAACUGUACAACUAUAUCUCAUAUUCCAAGACAAAUAUUCGUUAUUUUACAACUCAAAGUUUAUACAAUUUUGCUCAUGUACAUUACAAUUACAAGAAUCAUUUUAUCUUAAUAUAAAUCUAACUAAGGAAAAUAAUAAAAAAAAUUCAAUUCGUAUCAUGCUUGAAGUCCUUAUCGCCAUGUUAACUAGAGCAAUUCAUCUUUAAGCUGCAAAUAUAAUUAUUUAAGUAUGAGCGGGAUGGCUCAACAAGUCCAACAGUUUAUACAAUUCAUGUUUCACGUAACAAUUAUGCUCUAUAAUCUAUUCAAUGACAUUCAUUUCAUUUUAUGCAUUUCAUAAAUGUAAGACCCUAACUUUUAAUGAAUAAAGAUUUAAUUUUCUCUAAAUAUUAUUCUAAAUAGUAAGGUGAUAAUUUAAUAAAUGCUAUAGUUAUGGGUGAUAUGUGCAAAUUUUACAAAGUAAGCAAGCUGUUAUAAAAUAUUCGUUUUGUCGGGAAAUAUUUGUUUGAUGGAGGAAUAUUCUUUUUGUCGGAGAAUAUUCGUACGACGGCGCAAUCAUUGGUGGACUCCACAACAGAAUAACUAUUGGAUAUAGAAAGCGACAAAAAUAACAUUUUUAUAAAAAUAACGGCAAAACUUUUACUGUUAAAAUGUUGAAAUACCCGGUGAUAAAAAAUAUAGUAAUACGCGUUGUUGCACUGCACACGGUAUUGCACAAUAUCUCUGGUUAUUGAUGCUUACGUAAGAAGUCACUCAGUUUCAUUCAAUAAUUGUCACAGUAGUUGCUGCAUAGUAUCUCAUAUUAUUGAUUCAAUUAUUAUCACAGUAUCAUAUGUACAAUAUUUUAUAUUAUUAAAUCAAUAAUUGACACGACACAAUUAUUCAUAUAAAUAUUUGUACUAUUGACAAUGUCUAGAAAGUUCUGUCGAGGAAAGGGGUAAGGUUAUUUAAUUGUGCGCCAAUAAGAAGAAAUCCUUAUCAGAAAGCCCCCUCUUUCCUGGAAACGAUCUGGUUUUGCCAAUAUUGUGAGUUAUAAUAUUAAUGAUGAAUAAUUGUUGAAAGAUUAAAAAUGUGUUGAUUGAAGAUAAGUGAAUUAUGGUAAAUAUUUAUUCAAUUUUUGAUAUAAAUAGAGGGGUUGUCAUGAGACUUUUGUUAUAAAUUUGGCUUAUUCUAUGGGACCCAUAGGUCAUCAUCUAAGAGUCACUUUCACCAAUAGUACUUACCUUUCACAUUACAAGCGUCAAACCACUUCCUUUUUCACAUUACAGGCGUCAAACCACUUGCCUUUUCACAUUACAUGCGUUAAACGACUUGCCUUUUCACAUUACAGGCGUCUUUGCCUCUUCGCAUUGCAAGGUCCAAGCUAGAAUUCUUCUAUAAAUAGAAGCUCAUUUCUUCCUUCAUUCUUACCAAUUCACGAAAGCUAUAGAGAGAGAAACUAUAGAAAGAGAAUAAGAGAGAAAGAAGAAGAUCGAGUAUUCGAGAAGCAAACACACACCACCAACACAAAGUUCUGUUACCACACUAGUGCAAUAUCUAGUCUUUUAUUAUGGUAAGGGGUGUUAUUUUCUUUCAAUACUCGUAAAGGAUGUUAUUUUCUUCAUACUCAUAAGGGUUGUCAUUCCAUUCUUUAUUAAUCUGUGGGAAUAACAUGUCUACGCGGAUUACUGCAUGCCUGGUGAAUAACCAUUCGUAUUCAUUUUUUUAUUAAUUUGUGGGUAUAUUUUGUCUAUGCGGAACCACAUGCCUGGUGAAUAACCCUUUGUAAUCAUUCUUUAUUAAGUUGUGGAAAUGAUCUGUCUACGCGGAUUAUCGCAUGACGGGUAAAAAUCCAUUUGCAGUUUCGUAUAUUCUUUCAUACUAGCUUGUAUUGGAUAUUAUUUCUUUUGUACUCGUCAAGGGAUAUCGUUUUCUUUCACAUUUCUCCAUUUAUGGUACAAAAUUAUUGUUUAUUUCCAUAACUUUAUUAUUAAAUGGUGAAAAUCCCUGAAAUUAGUAGAAUAUCCUUAAUAGUAUGUGUUUCAUCUAAUAUCAUUUCACUGAAAUAUUGGUCUGAAUAUUUUUAUUAAAUUUUAAUCUAUUCAUACGGGGUACUAUUCAUUCGCGGUACUAUUCACGAAGAAAAUUAGUUUCUUUUUUUGUCCAAUUAUCUUUGAAAUUUGAAUCUUAAAUAUCAUUUAUUAAAUUUUACUCCACAAUUGGUGAUCAUGUUGACAAUUUGGAUAUUUUUGAACUCGGGAUAAAUUAAAUUAUAAAUCUCUAAUAUUUGUCAUUGAUCUCACUUAAUUCAUUCUUUAUAUCAUUGUCAUCAUCCUCAUGCUUAUGUUAUGGUGAAAGUCAUCUUUUACCCGUAGUACAAAGAUGGACUGUUGAUUGGUAUGAUUAUGACCAGAUAUUAUGUAUUGGUAUAAUCAUGACCUUUAAUGUUACAAAUAAAGGUUUGUGGUGAAAGUCCUCUUUAUCCCGUAGUGCAUAGAUGGACAUGUGUUUGACAUGAUCAUGACCACUGGUGAUAUAAACGAUUAUCGUUGGCCCGUAAUGCAUAGAUAAUUCUUUGAUUGGAAAUUAUUAUUGAUUGGUGUUACAGGGAUAAAAUAUUAAUGAUGAACUUUUAAAUCAUAAAAUAUAGUAGACAUCAUGAUCUACUUGACUCUUCUAAUGGAUUGUUAUUUUCAUUGCAAUUGUUGAUCCAAAACUUGUUGUCUAUUGUAUUCUAUCAGAUUUUUCCCUGUUGAAGACUAAUGAUAAUUUGUUCUACGUAUAUUAUCUUAGUCAUAAUAUUCUUUACUAGGCUAGUUGAACUCACCCUUUUUCUUUUUGUCCUGUUGUUCUUCUCAGGAAAUGAAAGUGUAGCUGGAACUAGUCGGGGAGUGGAGUAAUGGUCCGAGAUAGUUACUACAGAAGUCUUCACUAUGUUGUGAAAUAGUGUGAUAAUAACUAUAAUGAAGACUUAAUUUGAGUUUGGAUAUUGUCGUAUUAUGUACCGUGCAAUAUUUGUAUUCAAAUUCCCAGCUUAUGUGUUGUCGUAUUUUGCACGAAAGUUUAAUAAUUUUAAAUAUGGAAGUUUGUACCAUGUAUUUUGGUGACUCAAAAUAGGUUGUGUGAACCUAUUUUGGGGGCGUCACAAUAAAUGCAACAUAAAGCUCAUGUAAUGCAUUUAAAUAAAUAUGCAAUUUAUAUUUCAUGUUGUGCAUCAAAUACACAUUUCUCAGUUUACAUACAUUGCAUCUAAUUUUAAACAUUUAAUACAUGAAUUCCAUAUAAACAUAUAACCAAAUUCGCACAUAGCAUCGAAUUCCAUUAUCUAGCACAUAUCGAUAAUUUAAAUAUCACAUUAUCGUAUAAUCAACCAGUUCGCAUACUACUAUAAGAACUUUCCUCGAUAUUCGUUCAUUGUUAUACAUUCAUCUAGGACUCAUUGCGUAAUUGUGACAACCCAGAUUUUUGCAAGAAAAUAUUAAAAUAAGAAUUUAAUAAAUAAAAUUCUUAUUAUGAGAUGUGCCGAGUUUGAAUGUUUAAAUAUAUGUGUUAUACAUAUAUGUAUGUGAUUUAUAUGGAGAAUUUAAUACGUAUAUAUAAGAGUGAAAUAUAUAUAUAUAUAUAUAUAUAUAUAUAUAUAUAUAUAUACAUAAAUUUGGAAAUUAAGCUUUAAUAGUUGAUUAAACUAUUAAGUUAGUUAGUUUGAGCUAAGUACGAAGUAAAAGAUGUAAGCAAGGAAAAAACAAUUAAUAUUAAUUAAUUGAGAUUUAAGAUAAAGAAUAUAUUAUGAGUAAUAUAAUUUUAGAAUUAAGUCUUGAACGACAAUGGUGUUAUUGUGAAUUAAAUUUCAUAAGUGAAAUGAUUAAUUCAUUUAAUUAAAAUAAUGAAUUAAUGUAUGUAUUUUGUAUAAAGAAAAUAAUUAUAUUAAUUAAAUAUAGUAUUCUUAAUAUAUAACAUAUCAAUGUAAUAUAUGAAAUGGUUUAGUAUCUUUAAUGAUGCCAAUUGAAUAUAAAUUAAACAUGAGAUGUGAUAAUUAGUUCAUUAUUUUAAAAUGAGUGAAUUUAAAUAUUCAUUUUGAUGAAUAAAAAUAAAGAAUAUAUGUUAUUUUCUUUAAAUUAUAAGAACUAUGUUAUAUAUAUAUAUAAUGAUAUAAUAAUUAUAUUAUAAUAAUGGAAUGAGAAGAAAAAAUAUGGAUGGGGGACCAAUAUAUAUAAAUGAAUAUUUGUGUUGAAUUAAAUUAACAUUUAACUUAUAGUUAAAUGUAUUACAUUGAUAUAUGUAAUAUAUAUAGGCUAUGACAUGCGAAUUGGACUGAGUAUAGAAUUAGUACUCAGCUUUCUUAUAGUGUAUGGGGGGAAAGUAACGUAUUUGAGCUCUCAAUUUCUCAGACCCUUCCUCUCCCAAAAUGCUCAGGAAUUUAUAUUGAUAUAUCUCAUUUGGCUAUUCUUCAUACAUCUCAAUUGAAAGUCUAUAAGAGAUAUAGAGAGAGAAAUGAGUUUGCAAUGGAAGUUGAAAGAAAACUUUGAAAGUUCUGAUAAUUCACAAAAGAACUGAUGAUUUAAGAAGGAUUGGAUCAAGGAUUAAGCAGGAAUUAGAGCUCAAAAGGUAAUGUUUCAUCUCUGACAUAUGAAUUGGAGAGGCUCAUAAGCAAUUAAAGUAAUUAUGUAUUUAUAAUUGGUAGAAAAGUAGAGAUGGAUAUUGGUUGUGUUAAUUAUAUAUGAUUUCCAUAGGAAAUCUAGGAUAGUUAUAAUUGAAAUUUUAUGAAACUAAGUUUUUGAGUCGAUGCCCAUAUGUUGUUUGUCUUAAUGCCUAAGUGAAAAAUUUACUAAAGAUAUAGAAAUGUGACACCCCUAAAUUCGGGUACUUCAAUUUCAUUGAUUUGGUGCUCAUUAUCCAUCAAAAUCACAUCUAAACUACCAACAAUAAAGGAUAAUAAACUUCGUAAACAAUAAUUCCAUUAAAGGGUUACAUAAUCAAACGAAAUCUCAGGUUAUCUAACCUUAAUUAUUACAUCAACAGUGGAAUAAAAAAACAUAAACAUAAUCAAGUCUUAUUACAUAAGCUUCACAUUUGAAAUAUAAUUUAAACUUCAUCAACUUAUGCAUCUUGCCCUUUCCCUUGCUCGUGGACGGCUCCUAGGGUUUUUCGAUCUUAGCUGAAAUGUUUAAUGUAAGAGUGAGCAAAAAAACUUGCUCACAAGUAGAACAAUGUAUGAAUGAACAAUGAAUCAACUUUAAUUGAAUAAGGUAUUCUUACUUGAAACAAUAAGCUUUAAAUCAAGAACUAUGAGUUCAAUAGAAUAAUUGACUUUCAAAUGAAUUUUAGGUAUCAAAAUCAAGGUAUAUGCUGAGGUUCACAAGAUCACAAACUAUGUCCUAGGUUAACAAGUAUUUAUAGCGUAACCUUUAAUAGUCAUAAAGACUAUAUAUGGACUAUCUAUCUCGUACUCCAGGUGAUCAGCUAUUUGUACAAUAUAUUGUGCACAAAUAUUUUAACGCUAUUGCGUAGCUCAGAAUUAUAGUUUUCGAUAACAUAAUCCCUUAUUUUAGGGUUGUUCAUCUCAUCUUUAACAUUAGGAUUCAUACCAAAGGAAGUUUGGUUUGGAAUAGCACAAAGAAAAUUUAUAUCUUUAGAACGUUCAUCAAUUAAGGACUAGUUUACCAUAAAGGAUUCGAUAAUCAUUCAAAAGUUUGAUAGCAACAUAUUCUUUUAUAAGGUACAUAAGAAAGUCAUGAUUCAAUAAGUGAUAGUCACAAAAAUUCACAAUUGAAUAAACAUCAUUUAUCGAAGCAAUGCUUUCAGAAAGAACUAGGAAGCUUAUUUAAGAUUCAUAAACAUUGAAUAAUUUAUGAAACAUUGUUGAAUUAUAAAAUAACAAAGGUUAGGAAACUUGCACAAUGAAAAAGAAGAGUUAAGAGACUUGUCUUGCGAGUUCGCUACACAAUUACAGUACACUUCCUUUAAAAAUCAUACACAUUUCAGUCACAAUAGCACAUUGAUUAGUUAUGAAAUAGUAUUCAUUAACCACUUACAUUAAUCCAUCCUAUGCCUUUUUGAUUAUCACAUUUACUCAUCUCAUUGUGAUUAUAAUAUGUUAUGUUAUCUUGUUACAUGUUUUAAGCUUUACUACAUUCAUUAUAAUAGGUUAAACGAACAUCCCUCGAAUUGUGCAAUUACCAGCUCAUUACUGGGUCUGUUCUGCACAAGGCGCGGUUGCGCCACAUUUGAACUUGAUCACUGCGCGGCAGCACCCUAGCCUGUGGAAGCACCCCAACUGUUCUUUAUUCCGACGCGGUAGCGCUGGAACUCAGAAGCAGUUUCUGUAGUUCGACUCCAGACUCUGCUACAACCCAAAAACUCUUAAUUUCAUCACCCAUACUCCAAAUAAAAUAAUUUCAGAUGUUAUAAACUUUAUAAACUUGAAACUAAACAUCUAUAAAAUAAUUCUAACAUCUCAAACAACUUUAACAAUCAAAUUAAGAACUCAAAUUCCAUGUUCAUGUUCUAUUUUCAUAUUUUGACAUACUUAGCGAAAUCAAUGAUCACCACGAAUUCGAUUCUCAACCAUUUUGAUUCAUACAAGUUGUGUUGUUUUCGUAUCUCAGAGUACUACCAUAAAUAAUCAUCAAUUUGAGAUUUUGAACAUGGAUUCAUAACUAGUUUAAAACAGUCUAUAAUAUACAUAUUACAACCAAAAGUCUAAUUUUUUUUAUUUAACACAUUUACACAAAUUUGAUUACUUCAAAAUCAUUUAUAGAAGAUAUAUAACAAAUCAUAUUUACCAAAAAAAACAUAUAUAACCUAACUCUCAUCAAAUCAUUCAACCAAAUAAAUUUACAGUGAAGAAUUUUGGGAAAAUAUAACUAAGAGAUUUAAAGUUAGUUUAUUACCUUUGAUUACUUCUUAUACUAGAUAGAUGAUGAAUAUUUGCUAAUUUAGCCUUCCUUCUCCUCCUUGAUUCUCAGACCUUCUUCUCCAAUUCUCAGAGAAUUCUCUCACUUUCUCAAUUUCUUUUUCAAGCUUAAGGAAAAUUGAGCGUAUGAAUAAACUGAACAUAACUUAACGCUCAAUUGAGUUGGCCGGUUACAAAAAUAAAACUCUCAACUGUUAAAAAUAUGGACAGUCUAAACCAUGUUUGGCUAAACUCAAUUAACCCAUCUUUAUUUAUUUUAAAUAAUUCUCUUAUUAUAUGAUACACAUGUGUCACACAUAGUUUAAUUAAAUUAUUUAGCCAAUACAACUAUAAUUUCAUUUAACCAAUUAUUAGCCCUCUAAUUUAAUUAUUUAAUUAAAUUAGAAUGUUACCAUGAUAUUAGCAUAAUAAAAUACACGCCAAAAUAUUAAUCAACUCACAUAAUUUAAUCAACAUAACCACAUUUAAAUAAAUUAUUCUAUAACAAUUUACAUUUAAUAUUUAUUUUAUUUAAUUAAUAUUCAAACUAAAAUAUUUACUUUAUUCAAUAACUAUUUUUAAUUACUUUAUAAAAUUACAAUAUAUCGUUACAGGGAAUAAAAUGGGAUAUGAAUGGUGUAAAAUGGAACUAAAACAUGUCCUGAGUAAUUUAAAAUCACGAUAUAGCAGUUAUGGAUUAUAAUAGAAAGUUUGAUUUAUGGAAAUUCAAGCUCUGCAGAUAACAGACCAUGUCUGCGUCUGAAGCUGAAGUGGCGUGACCGCGUCACUUCCCGAGUCUAUACCAGCGCGACCGCGCUGGUCACCAAAAAAGCCAAGAUUUGUUUUUCAUGAUUUGAGCUUUUGGACAGGUGUAGCCAAGUCUUUUAUGUUCAAAAAUGUAUUACAAUUAGUGUCCAUCAUAAUUAAGUAAGGAAUAAGUGAUUUUAGUAUGAUCCAAUAUAACUUUUCAAAUGAAAACUAAAAUAAUUUGAAAACUAAACUUAGAAGACCUAUAUUGAUUCCAAGUACUUAAAAUCAUGUGUAUUGAUGAUAUAAGGAGCCUAGCAUGUCCGCAUUGAAUUGUUUAAAGAAAAACUCAAUUUUGAGUUUAGCAGGGAGUAGCACGGCCGCGCCACUCCCAGGUUUAAAUGCAGCGCGCCCACGCCGUGCUAUAGAAUAUUCAAGGAAAUUUUGUUUUAGGUCUGAAGUUUGAGGCAUGAUGAUAGUAUGGAUCUUUAAAGCCUUAAAAAGCAUGUAAUUCAGAGUUUUUAUACUAACUAUUCAUAAGUCGGUUAUGACAAUUAAAACUUAGUAUGAGAUUAUCGAAACUAAAACAACUAUUAUGAAAGAGCAAGACUAAGAGUCAAUGUAAUCUAAUUGAUUUCAUUGAUUAUGUGCAACUGAUGCAUGUGUAUAUGAACUUAUAAAGUAAUGUAGGAUAAACGCAAAGCAGUUAAGCUGUAGUUGGUAAUCAACAAACCAUUCAAGUCUUUUAGUUCAUAUGUUCUAUUUGAACUUGAUAUUGUUUAAUUAUAAAAUUACUGCAAGGAGUAUAUAUGUUAAAUUAUGUAUGAUGCUCGAUAUAUUUGUGAAAGUCAAUUUAUGACUAAGUUGAUUAAGUUAUGACACUCAGUCUUUACAUGAUAUGUGAAAUGCAACAUGUAUGAAAUGUAUAGUAAAAUGUUUAUGAUAUAUGAACUGAGCAUAGAAUUAUGUGCUACGUGAUGCAUAAAAAUUGUUUGACUUGUUGAGCUGUCGAGCUCAAUCUUGCAAAAAUAACCUUUUUGCAGGAUAAGGAUACAAUAUUAUAUUAUCUGCUAUCUGAAUGGUAAGGAUCAGAAGACAUGCAAGAAAAUAAACUUUCUUAUUUUGAACCAUACUAAGGGUUUUCAAUGUUUGUAGUUGACAGUUUAUAAUGUGUAUUUAAUGUCAGGUUGUGAAUAUUGAAUUAUUCGAUAUAUUAAUUAGACCAGUCUAACAGAGCCACCAAAAAGCUUUAUUGAGACAGUUUUUAGACCCAGCAUUAACAAGUUAUUCACUCCAAAAUAAUUUUCAAAUCCAAUUUAACUUGACCAAUUUAUUUAAACUACUUCAAUAUACAUAUAUAUAGCCUUCCUUGAUAAUAGCUUUGCUCAAUUCUUUCUUUUUAAGCUAAACAACUCUAAGAGGAAUAUUAUCAAACAUGAUAUGGACAUUAAUUUUAUGGACAAAUUUCACCAACUUAUAUGCAUCCUUUAAAUCAUAUUUUCCUCCCUUAUCAAUUACUCCGCACAACAACAACUAAUCUCCUUACUAUUCACAAUCCAAUCAACAGUUUAUUCACAACAUAAUUUAUCCUAGAGAACAUUUAAUUUCCAAUUUCAAAUGAAAUACUAAAAACAUAACACUAACAUUGUAAAAACUUAGUUUUGUUGAAACAUUAGCUUAAUUAAUCAACUUAUAAACCUCCUUCACUACUGUUGUUCCAACUAUUUUCCUAAUUCAGCCCAUUAAUUUUUCUUAUUUUUCGAAAUCAAAAAAGUUUUAGCAAGCCUUUAUGUGUUAUGGUGCUUAACAAUUAAAGAGGCAGAGAGGAAGAAAAUAAGUUUGGGACGAAUGAAAUUUACUUAAGCUCGACAAAUUUAGAGAGGACAGGAGAUGAAAUGGAACGGAGUAGAGUCUAUCCUUAUAAAGCCAUGCUUAGUGAACUGAUAAUACCCAACUUUACUAACAGCUCAUGCUAAUUUUAGCCGAGUUAUUCUAAUAUUUACUUAAGGCAAGCCACCUCUUGCUUUCAUUCCUAAUUCGGCUAAAAUAAUUGAUUUCAUUCAUUUUUUUAUCCCAAUUAAGAUUUAACAUGUAUUCUUAGCAUAUAGUUACUAAUAUAUGUUAGAAUUUGAGCUUAAAUUGAAAUGGUUAUCAUUAAUUAUUUGAAAUGAUUACACAAAUUAAUGUGUUCUACUCCAUGAGUAGAUUAAAUUAAGUAUUUAGAAGCUCAAAUCCAUAGAAUAAUGAAUGAGAAAUUAACUCUCAAAAAUCACCCUUGGAAAUUGGAAAUGAUAAUAAAUAUUUGUGGAAAUCUAAGUCCCAUAUCGGUUAAGAACUAAAUAUUAAAUGAGUUUAUAUACAUUAAAGUUGCUCUCAAGUUUGGUCCCUAAGGGGAACCCCACUUUUAUGGAAAGGAGAGAACCUAGCCAAGGUUUGGUUCAAACCCAAACGCGCAUUACUGGCCUGACACGUGGCUCUAGGGUCUGGGUCCUUGUAUAUAAUUUUUUUGAAAAAAUUUAUUUAAAAAUUAUUUAAUUUAGUUCUAUUAUCAAAAGUAUGUCGUUUUGAUAAACAGUAUUUAUUAUUAUACUACGUCGUUUUGGGAAGAGUUACCUGUCGAACAGACGCGUCUAAACUGCGUCGUUUUGGGAAAGACUAUCUGCCUGAACAGACGCUCCAAAACUAUGUUGUUUUUGCCUGAAUGGACGCGCCUGUUUUGUUAAGCCUUAAACUACGUCGCUUUUGUUCUGCUAAGCCUAAAACUAUGUCAUUUUUUGUCCGAACGGACGUGCUUUUUUUGUUAAGCCUUAAAAUUACGUCGUUUCGGCUAAAACAGUGCCUUUUCAAGGGGUUAACUCCCUCUGAUCAGUCACUAACCCCUCCUAUAAAUAGAUAGGGGGUGCAGCCACUUCGAUCAUUUAAUUCAAGCAUUCAAGCAUUAUCAGUCUAGUUUCUAGUAUUCAUUUCAUAGACGUUCAUUUUAGAGAGAAAGUUCUAGGCAUUAUAAUUUUGGUUCGUUGAAUAUACUAUUUGGAGUGCUACUAUAGUAUAUAUUGUCAUUGUAUCCUAGGAGACAAGUGAUAUCAACUCUGAGCAUCAUACGGAGUGCAUAAUUGUCUUAAGAACAAAGUAUCAAGUACUAGCCUUGAUACAUAGUAUCACAUAAUUGUCUUAAGAAUAUAUUUUAUAUAUAUAUAUAUAUAUAUAUAUAUAUAUAUAGUUCCCAUUCAGUUUUACUAAUAAUAUAUACUCUACAAAUACAAAACAUAAUAUACAUUACCUAUAUUAUCUAAAUAAUCAAUUAAAUAACCUAUUCAAAAUUUAUAAUUCAAUUUCCUUGUUUCUUUCCAUAAUUUGUAAUUUAACACUUUAAUUACUAAAUACCAUAUAUACAUAUCAAGUAAUUCACUUGGGAUAAUUAUAAUACAAAAAAAACAUUCACAUCAAUCUAAUCUCCUUUCUUAUAUAGUUAAACAAUUGUUUAUUUAAUUAUUUAACUAUUAAGUUACUUAAUAAACUUAAUAUUUCAUUUAUAUUUUCUGUAAAAUGAUUAACUAUUAUAAGUUAACCUCUUUCUUAUAUUUUCUUUUUUUAAUUUCAUCACUUAAUGAUUUCACAUAACACAUAUAUAACGAUAUUUAACUAUCAUAAAACAUAUUUUUGUGUUAGAAUAUGUGAUUAGGAGUAAUCUUCUCCUAUAAUAAUGGAGUGAUUAUCCCCCCUAAUAUCAGGAUAGAAUCGUGCAAUUAUGAUCAUUCAAAUAUAGCAAUAGAAUAUCUUGUUGUAACAGUAGCAUAAGUUUAGCAAUAUACUCUUGUAUAUAUAUCUGCUACAUUGAUGAAUAACAAUAUAAAAAAAUUCUGUUCUCUUUGUGUUUUAUCAUGGUAUCAAAGCCAACUCCGUUUUUCCUUUAUCUAUCCUAGGAACCGGAGGUUGUUCUUUGUGUUUUUUUCUGAUCAUAAUUCUUUACUACCCACCCAUCAUGACUACUCCUACCAUUGAUGAUGGUGUUGUUAUCGGGAAUGCAAAAACUAAUUCCCUAGCUUUACCAGCACUAUAUAUGCAAGACGUCUCUUCUUCGCUUACUCCAGAGAAACUUGAUGGCACCAAUUAUGUGGAAUGGGCUUUGAAUGCACAAAAUAAAAUUUGCGGUCGAAAGAGUUGGGGAUUUAUUUCAGGUUCAAAGGCUGCACCUGAGAAUACCAAUUCUGAAGAAUAUGAAGCAUGGGAAGAUGAAAAAUGCAUGAUCAAAUCAUGGUUACUCGAUGCAAUGAACAAAGACAUCGGAUUCAUUUUCUUGCAACUGUCCACAGCAAAGGAAAUUUGGGAUAUGGCUAAGCAAACAUACUCAGUCAGUCAAGAUGCCUCAAAAUCAUAUCAGUUAUACUAUGAGGUAAUCUCUGUUCGUCAAAAUGGUGGUUCUAUUAUUUCUUAUAGGGAAAAAUUACAAAAACUUUGGCAGGAGAUUGAUGCUAUAGAUGAUUGUGCAAUGAAGUGCAAACCUGACAUUGAGAUAUAUACCACUAAGGUUAAUUCUCAACGUGUUUAUAUUUUCUUGGCUGGUUUGGACUCAUCACUGGAUGGGGUUCGUGGACGGGUACUUGCCACUUUACCUCUUCCAAAUCUUCAAGUUGCUUAUGUUAUAGUUUGUGCUGAGGAAAAUUGUCAAAAUGCUAUGAUGGGUGGAAUAUCUACUGAUGGUACUGCUAUGGCUACUAAAAGGAUUAAUCCAUGGCAAGACCAUAAGAAAGGGACACGCAAAUGUACUUACUGUAAUGGUGAUAACCAUGUUGUUGAUACAUGCUUCAAACUUCAUGGUUAUCCCGAGUGGCAUCCUAAAGGAAAGAAAACUUCUGCCAACACUUCUCUACAACAACAGCCAGUGUCAUCUUCUACAGGAUUAGUUGCAUAAACUGGUAUGACUAGUACUGCCCUUAACUCUCUUUCAUGUACUAAAAAUAGUGACUGGAUAAUUGACACGGGUGCAAAUGAUCAUAUGACUUGAGGUUCUUCAAAAUUUAGCUUUUUAUCCCCUUCACAUUCUAGCUUAGCUAUUACUAAUGCCAAUGGUGUGUCAUCCCCUGUUACUAGUGUUGGUAAUGUUCCUUUAUCCUCCACUUUAUCUCUCUCUAAUGUACUAUAUGUUCCAUCCCUUACAUGUAAUCUGCUUUCCAUUAGUCAGAUAACCAUGCAAGGCCCUUAACUGUGUGGCUCUGUUUUAUCCUACUCAUUAUAUUUUUCAGCACAUAUAUACCAAGGAGAGGAUUGGCAGUGGUAGACAACGAGGAGGAUUGUACUAUCUAGAGGGAGGAACAUCAUCACAAGUUUACCAUAGUCUAACACAUAUGAAGAGUACAAAUCAAUCGGCCAAUAUCGCAGAAAUUUUGUUGUGGCAUAAACAGCUUGGUCAUCCAUCAUUUGGAUAUCUUAGACGAUUAUUUCCAUCUUUAUUUGCUAAUUGUAACCUUUCAUACUUCAUUUGUGAGACAUGUGUUAUGGAUAUAAGUCAUCGUGUUGUAUUUCCUAUGUCUUCUAAUAAAGUUGCUACACCAUUUUCAUUAGUACAUUCGGAUGUAUAUGGGGUCCCUCCCCAGUUUCCACAAAUAAUGAAAUGAAAUGGUUUGUUACCUUUGUGGAUGAUUGUACUCGAAUGACUUUGGUAUACUUGCUAAAACAUAAGAGUGAUGUUUGUUCAGUUUUUCGUCUCUUUUAUCAAAUGGUACUCACCCAAUUUGACAAAUCUAUUAAAGUGGUACGUUCAGAUAAUGGAUGUGAAUAUUUCAAGAGAGAAUUAACAGAUUUUUUACAUUCAAAAGGUAUCAUUCAUCAAACAUCAUGCCGAGAGACUCCUCAACAAAAUGGAGUAGCUGAGAGAAAAAAUCGAUAAUUACUUGAGGUCAUCCGGUCACUAAUAAUUGAAAGUAGUGUGCCUACUUACUUGUGGGGAGAGGCUCUCAAUUCAGCUAUUUAUGUGAUUAAUCAUACACCCUCUAGUACCAUAUCCUUUCAACGACCGCUUGAUGUCCUUGCUAAUCAUUGCAUGCUUCCAUCAUUGGUUAAAUUGAUGCCUCGUAUCUUUGGAUGUGUAGCUUAUGUACACCUUUCACCUCAACAUCGAACGAAAUUUGAGUCAAGAGCUUUACAAUGUGUCUUUAUUGGUUAUGGGUCUACUCAAAAAGGUUAUAAAUGCUAUCAUUCGGAGACUCGUCGAUUCUAUACCUCUAUGGAUGUUAUCUUUGAUGAGUCAAAAUUUUAUUACUCUCUUCCAGAUUUAAAGCCUACUUGUCCUGAAGAUGUUCGAUAAUUUGCAAGUCAUGAUGAUGUCUUUUGUUUUGAGCUAAAAUUAGCAACUCUACCCACUAGUGGACCCUUGGACGAGGACACCUCUACUAUAGACACAUCCAUGGUAAUACCUACAGUUCCUGAUUCUUGUCCACAAGACUCUAAUGAUCAUUGUGAAAAUUCUCAACAACCUCUUGAUAGUACAUUACCUCCUAAUUCACCGGCCAACUCCUCUCCAGAGUCAUCACAACCUACAGGUACAACUCGAAAAUUCUUCUGAAAUUAGUUUGCCAUCUAACCUUGUUCAUCAUGCACUUCCACCACGAUCUACCCAUGGGAUUCCAGCUGCUAAAUAUGAACCCGAUCCAAAAGCCAAAGUGAAAUACCCAAUAAGUAAUCAUAUCUUAUCUCACAAGUUGUCUGCUUCAUAUGCAUCUUAUGUGUGUAAAUUAUCAUCUAUCUCUAUUCCUAGUACAUUACAGGAAGCUUUGGCAGAUCCUCAUUGGACUGCAACUAUGGCAGAGGAAAUGGAGGCUCUAAAAAGAAAUGGAACAUGGGAUCUUGUUAUCCUUCCAACAGGAAAAAAACUGUGGGAUGUCGAUGGGUCUUUGCUGUCAAAAACAAUGCAGAUGGAACUAUUGAAAGAUACAAGGCGAGACUUGUCGCCAAAGGGUACACGCAAUCUUAUGGGAUUGAUUAUCAAGAAACUUUUGCUCCAGUUGCUAAACUCAAUACUGUGAUAGUUCUUUUGUCUUUAGCAGCUAAUAAAGAUUGGCCUUUACUCUAAUUCGAUGUCAAAAAUACAUUCCUGCAUGGAGACCUUACAGAAGAUGUGUAUAUGGAUCCACCUCCUGGUAUUUCAGAAUAUGAAGGUAUCACUCGAGUUUGCAAACUCAGGAAGGCUUUGUAUGGCUUGAAACAAUCUCCUAGAGCUUGGUUUGGUAUAGAUUUACUCAAGUCAUCAAAAAGUUUGGUUAUACUCAAAGCAAUUUGGAUCAUACCUUGUUUAUAAAGCAUAACAUGGGUAAACUCACUGCCUUAAUUAUAUAUGUUGAUGAUAUGGUAGUAACAGGUGAUGAUGCUGAGGAAAUUCAGUGCUUACAACAACAUUUGGCAUCCAAAUUUGAAAUAAAAAAUCUUGGAGAUCUUAAAUAUUUCCUCAAGAUUGAGAUAGCUCGAUCCAAGCAUGGUAUAUUUAUGUCACAACGUAAAUAUACUCUCAAUUUAUUGAUUGAAACAGGGAUGCUUGGAUGUAAAUCAGUUGAUAAUUCAAUGGAGCAAAAUCAUAAGUUUUUUCAAUGUUCUCAUGCUAGUUCUACAGAUAAAGGGAGAUAUCAGAGACUUGUGGGAAAAUUAAUUUAUUUAUCCCACACUCGACCUGACAUUGCUUAUGCUGUGAGUGUGGUAAGUCAAUUUAUGCAUGAUCCACGUAAACCUCACAUGGAUGCUGUAGAACGGAUUUUGCGAUAUUUAAAAUCUUCUCCAGGCAAAGGUCUAUUAUUCUCCAAACAUGGACACUUAGAUGUUGAAGGGUAUACUGAUGUUGAUUGGGCUGGUUCAGCUGACGACCGGCGUUCUACAUCCGGUUAUUUCACUUAUGUAGGUGGCAAUCUUGUGACUUGGAGAAGUAAAAAACAGUCUGUGGUGUCUAGAUCAAGUGCUGAAGCUGAAUAUCGAGGAAUGGCAAUUGGAGUAUGCGAAUUAUUGUGGUUAAAAAACUUGAUGAAAGAUUUGGGAUUCUCUCAAAGAAUUGCAAUGAAUCUUUGUGAUAAUACAUCAGCUAUAGAGAUUGCCCAUAAUCCUAUUCAACAUGAUAGGACAAAGCGUGUAGAAGUUGAUAGACAUUUCAUCAAAGAGAAGCUUGAAGUCAACAUUAUCCAUUUUCCUUUUGUAAAGUCAGAAUUUCAACUUGCUGAUGUUCUUACAAAAGUAGUAUCCAACAAAGUGUUUACAAGUUGUCUUGACAAGCUGAGCAUGUGUGACAUCCAUGCACCACCUUGAGGAGGGAUGUUAGAAUAUGUGAUUAGGAGUAAUCUUCUCCUAUAAUAAUGGAGUGAUUAUCCCCCCUAAUAUCAGGAUAGAAUCGUGCAAUUAUGAUCAUUCAAAUAUAGCAAUAGAAUAUCUUGUUGUAACAGUAACAUAAGUUUAGCAAUAUAUUCUUGUAUAUAUAUCUGCUACAUUGAUGAAUAACAAUAUCAGAAAAUUCUAUUCUCUUUGUGUUUUAUCAUUUGGUAAUAGAAUUUAUUUUAUUCACAAAUAUGCACCGUUCAAUAUUCUCGGAUAUCAUAUUAUUCAUGUUUCAAAUAAUUUCAUAAUAUCAAUAAUUCUACAUAUCUCAUAUGAUGACAUUUAAUCACAACUCUUUGAUAUAGUUUGAAAAGAUAUUUUCUUAAAUUCUUAUUUUAAUUUUUUGUGAAAUUCGGGUUAUCACACAUUUUUCCAACUAAGCUCAAGUGUUAAACGAAUUUGAUUCUAGUUUAAACGAGUCAAAUUAAACUUAUUCGCAACAUCUAAAUUUGUUUACAACUAUAUCAACUUUUGUUGACCUCUUUAAAUUUUGAAUGCUACUUGAAAAUAUUAUAAAAUUUGAAUGCAAACUUUUUUUUAUCUUACCUAAUAUUUUUUUAAUUUUUUUCACGUAAUUUUCAAUUUUAUUCAAUGUUACGACAAAGAUUUUAAGACAUUUCACAAUCAUAUUUUUUUUUCUAAUUAUUCCGAGAUCCUAUUUCAAGAUCAUAUUCAAAUAUUAUGUAUUUAAAUAUUUCAAAUAUUCAAAUGUAUAUUUAUAAUUAUAUUAAAAAUAUUUUGAAAUUUAAUUUUGAUAAACAUCUUAAUUCUCGUGCCAUAGUUUGAGAAGAUUAAAAGUUCAAUACAAUGUCAGUAACACACGCGCAUCUUAAUAUUAUGAAAUGUCACUAAUGAAGUAUUUAUGGUGGACUAAAUUAUUCUUAUUUUAAUUAUGUGUCAUAAUUUUAACACAAAUUAUGCAUAAAAAGUCAUAUACACAAUAUGGAGAAAAAAGUAAUAUACACUAUGAUCAGAAAGCUUCAUUAAUUGUCCGAUCUGAGAUUUAUAUCCUCAACCGGAUCCUCUCUUACAUUAACCGG